AAAAAGUGAAAUCUGGCACUUGGCAGAGCCAGAAGGAAACAUCUGGAUGCUUUUGAUCAAAGAUGCGUGAGGAAAAUGAGACUGCAGAGCAUCAAGAAUGGCACAGUUUGAGAAAGAGAAAGGAAGAAUGAAACUCUCCCCAGCAGAAGUUGGCAGUUUGGGAGGGGAUGUUGUCCCCUGCAAUGUGGCCCUGCUCCUCUGGUCUCCAGCUCAGGAUGCUGCCUGAGAAUACUGCACAGCCUCUCUUCUGGCUGCAGAGAAGGGUGAGGAGAGGACAAAACCUGCACCUGGCUCUUCAGCAGCACGAGGCACCUGGGCACAGGUGAAACGUUGGACAAAUCAUGGAAGCUGGAGCAGGAGCACAUCAGUGAUGGAGGAGCCACAGAGGGGCCUCAAGGCAGCCCUGCCACCUGAUGGAAAACCAGCCACAGCUCUUCAGCUGCUGGAGCAAAUGAAAAAUCCCCUCUCAGAGACACCACUGGAUGAUGUGGGAUGGACAGCUCAGGCCAUCAGUGCUUACAUUUUUGGCCACAUCCACCUCCAUGCUUUUCUAGGAACACCCACUUGGACACUUGGCUGCAGCAACAGCAGUGAGAGCUCUCACAAGGAGAGAAGUGUGGAUUUGGAUUCCCCAGAAGCACAAGUUUGCCUGCCUUGAUAGUUUUUAAUGUGUUUUAUUUUUGCUUUUCGUGUCUGAUAGAAUUGUUGAAAUGAGUGAUGUCGUGCAGCAAACUUUGGGAUGCCUAGGGCAGCGCUCAGACACGCUGAGUGGAAAUAUUAAAAACCUGUCAGAUGGGAAAGGGCUCCUACCUUUCUAAACUGCCAAUGUUUUAUACACUGCCAGAAACACCUCUGCUGCUCCUGUGCUACCUCAGCUGGUACUGAUGAAAUUUGGUUUUCACUCACCCAGCUCCAGUCGUUGCUUAAGGGCCUGAAGGAGAUGAUUACUUAAGUCAGGGAGCAAUUUA